GAGUUUGAUCCUGGCUCAAAACGAACGCCGGCGGCGUGCUUAACACAUGCAAGUCGAACGCGAACGUUUCCUUCGGGGAACUAGUAGAGUGGCGCACGGGUGAGUAACGCGUAAGUAACCUACCCUCGCAUUCGGGAUAACCCACCGAAAGGUGUGCUAAUACCGGAUACGUCUCAUUUAAUAUCUUUUGAUGAGAGAAAGGUGGCCUCUGAUUCAAGCUACUGUGCGGGGAGGGGCUUGCGUACCAUUAGCUAGUUGGUAGGGUAAGGGCCUACCAAGGCGAUGAUGGUUAGCGGGUCUGAGAGGAUGAUCCGCCACACUGGAACUGGAACACGGACCAGACUCCUACGGGAGGCAGCAGUGAGGAAUAUUGCGCAAUGGGGGCAACCCUGACGCAGCGACGCCGCGUGGAUGAUGAAGGCCUUCGGGUUGUAAAAUCCUGUCAGAUGGGAAGAAAUGGCGCUUAGUAAAUACCUGAGUGUCUUGACGGUACCAUCAAAGGAAGCACCGGCUAACUCCGUGCCAGCAGCCGCGGUAAUACGGAGGGUGCAAGCGUUGUUCGGAAUUACUGGGCGUAAAGCGCGCGUAGGCGGCUCUAUAAGUCAGAUGUGAAAGCCCGCGGCUCAACCGUGGAAGUGCAUUUGAAACUGUAUGGCUUGAGUACUGGAGGGGGUAGUGGAAUUCCCGGUGUAGAGGUGAAAUUCGUAGAUAUCGGGAGGAAUACCGGUGGCGAAGGCGACUGCCUGGCCAGAUACUGACGCUGAGGUGCGAAAGCUUGGGGAGCAAACAGGAUUAGAUACCCUGGUAGUC
rnacentral:rRNA from 1 species